UCCAGUGAACGAUUAAAUUUG
ensembl:piRNA 21ur-12343 ncRNA